AUUAAGGUUUGGACAUGCCAAAGUAAACGCUAGACUAUAUGAUAUUAAAAAAAUAUUUCACUCCAUUGUGUCUAAGCUGCACUCAAGCUCAACGCGAAACACUAGACCAUGUAAUUUUAUAGUGCCCAGCCUACGAAUAUGCAAGAGAUCGGUGCUUUAAGUUAAUUAAAAAUUUAACAUCGAUAUCUAAUAUUAACUUAACGUAUUUAAUGAAAUUAGAAGACACAAAAGUAUAUAAAGAAAUAAAUAACUUUCUCAUGACCAUAAACAAAUACAUUUAAUAACAAAUCAACAAAACACAAUACAUAUAUGUAUCCUGGUUUUGGCCUUUAUAUCCGUGGUCCAUAUUUCGGAUUAGGAAUGCCUGAAGGACCCCUGGCGGGAAGACUCCCCAAAUCCUGAAUAUCUAUCUAUAGAAUCCCAUAGUAAUCCCGCUAUUUAUUAACAAACACAAACAGUAUAGGUACACAAAACAUAUAUGUCCAAUACAUUAAACCCAAACUAAUAAUAAUAACUAAUUAUUUCCAAUUAAAUUACCACAGAGGUUUAACAACACAGUGAACUACGAGGCUGCAUGGGAUUAUGCCCGAGCCUUUAUUAUAAACAGAAAAAAAAGACUAGGCGUUGUAAAACUCCCAAGAAGCUUGUUGUCACUUUGUUACGACUUUGUACUAAAUUUUUAGAUGCAGAAUAUAAAAGUAUCAGCAUACUGUACAUAUUUUAUCAUAUUUUAGGUGUUGCAUACUAUGAAAUGAUAUGGGACUUGAAAAUACAGCUUUGAGGUUAGCCUCUGUUAGUUAUUCUAGUACAAGUUUACUUCCAGAAGGUGAUCUGCUGAAUCUAUUGGCUUUAUUUCAAGCAUCACUUCCUUGGACAAAUGAGAGUGUUGGUUGUUUCAUACAAGAAAUUUGUUUACAAUUACAUCAUGUACUGUUUUCCUUUGAACCAAAAUUAGAUGCAAUGCUAACAAAAUAAUUUUGGGGUAUUUUUCAAUAAAGGUAGGAAAAAUUAAACACGCCAUUGAAAAGAUAGAUGCACCACAAUAAAUGUACAAUUGUAUACACAAAAUGUUCAAUGUUGUUAAUGAACACUGGUGAAGAGUACAAUGGUUUCCAGCAAUACUUCUACCCCAAGUUUGGAAGGAAACUUAACAUAUUGUUACCCACAAUGAAUUAAAAUGCUCCAUUGCCCUGAGCAAGCAAGUA